rnacentral:tRNA from 1 species
CAUGAGUUAGGAAAGGUUUUCAGGGUUGGCUUCUAACUAACUCGAAGCACGUAAAGUGUUGCCUUUCUGG